rnacentral:rRNA from 1 species
AUGGCUCAUUAAAUCAGUUAUCGUUUAUUUGAUAGUACCUUACUACUUGGAUAACCGUGGUAAUUCUAGAGCUAAUACAUGCUAAAAAUCCCGACUUCGGAAGGGAUGUAUUUAUUAGAUUAAAAACCAAUGCCCUUCGGGGCUCUCUGGUGAUUCAUAAUAACUUCUCGAAUCGCACGGCCUUGCGCCGGCGAUGGUUCAUUCAAAUUUCUGCCCUAUCAACUUUCGACGGCUGGGUCUUGGCCAGCCAUGGUGACAACGGGUAACGGAGGGUUAGGGCUCGACCCCGGAGAAGGAGCCUGAGAAACGGCUACUACAUCCAAGGAAGGCAGCAGGCGCGCAAAUUACCCAAUCCCGACUCGGGGAGGUAGUGACAAUAAAUACUGAUACAGGGCUCUUUUGGGUCUUGUAAUUGGAAUGAGUACAAUUUAAAUCCCUUAACGAGGAACAAUUGGAGGGCAAGUCUGGUGCCAGCAGCCGCGGUAAUUCCAGCUCCAAUAGCGUAUAUUAAAGUUGUUGCAGUUAAAAAGCUCGUAGUUGAACCUUGGGCCUGGCUGGCCGGUCCGCCUCACCGCGUGCACUGGUCCGGCCGGGCCUUUCCCUCUGGGGAACCGCAUGCCCUUCACUGGGUGUGUCGGGGAACCAGGACUUUUACUUUGAACAAAUUAGAUCGCUUAAAGAAGGCCUAUGCUCGAAUACAUUAGCAUGGAAUAAUAGAAUAGGACGUGUGGUUCUAUUUUGUUGGUUUCUAGGACCGCCGUAAUGAUUAAUAGGGACAGUCGGGGGCAUCAGUAUUCAAUUGUCAGAGGUGAAAUUCUUGGAUUUAUUGAAGACUAACUACUGCGAAAGCAUUUGCCAAGGAUGUUUUCAUUAAUC